AUUUGCAGGCCCGCAAUCGUUCGAAGAAUUGGAAUCGGAAGAUUUGUACACAAAAUACAAAAAGCUGCAGCGAAUGUUAGAGUUCCUGGAGGUCCAAGAAGAAUACAUUAAAGAUGAACAAAGAAAUCU
rnacentral:lncRNA from 1 species